AUUGAACGCUGGCGGCAGGCUUAACACAUGCACGUCGAGCGGGGGAAGGUAGCUUGCUACUGGACCUAGCGGCGGACGGGUGAGUAAUGCUUAGGAAUCUGCCUAUUAGUGGGGGACAACAUCUCGAAAGGGAUGCUAAUACCGCAUACGUCCUACGGGAGAAAGCAGGGGAUCUUCGGACCUUGCGCUAAUAGAUGAGCAUAAGUCGGAUUAGCUAGUUGGUGGGGUAAAGGCCUACCAAGGCGACGAUCUGAAGCGGGUCUGAGAGGAUGAUCCGCCACACUGGGACUGAGACACGGCCCAGACUCCUACGGGAGGCAGCAGUGGGGAAUAUUGGACAAUGGGGGGAACCCUGAUCCAGCCAUGCCGCGUGUGUGAAGAAGGCCUUAUGGUUGUAAAGCACUUUAAGCGAGGAGGAGGCUACUCUAGUUAAUACCUAGGGAUAGUGGACGUUACUCGCAGAAUAAGCACCGGCUAACUCUGUGCCAGCAGCCGCCGUAA
rnacentral:rRNA from 1 species